AAACCCGCACGUGAUAACUGUGAUGACGUCAUGAGGUGCCCUCGAGGGUGUGGGCGAUGAAAGUCACGUUAAUGUCAAGGGAAAUUUAUUCGAAUUAUUGCGUAAGAGGCCUUGAGCAGCUGCCUCAGUAUGGGGUUCAGUGGCGAGACGAGGGCCGAGCGGGGAGGUUGUGUUAAAGAUCAUCCACCAGAGAUAACCUGAUGGCAGG